GGUUAAGCGACUAAGCGUACACGGUGGAUGCCCUGGCAGUCAGAGGCGAUGAAGGGCGUGCUAAUCUGCGAUAAGCGCCGGUAAGGUGAUAUGAACCGUUAUAACCGGCGAUACCCGAAUGGGGAAACCCAGUGUGAUUCGUCACACUAUCAUUAACUGAAUCCAUAGGUUAAUGAGGCGAACCGGGGGAACUGAAACAUCUAAGUACCCCGAGGAAAAGAAAUCAACCGAGAUUCCCCCAGUAGCGGCGAGCGAACGGGGAGGAGCCCAGAGCCUGAAUCAGCAUGUGUGUUAGUGGAAGCGUCUGGAAAGGUGCGCGAUACAGGGUGACAGCCCCGUACACAAAAGCGCAUGUGCUGUGAGCUCGAUGAGUAGGGCGGGACACGUGGUAUCCUGUCUGAAUAUGGGGGACCAUCCUCCAAGGCUAAAUACUCCUGACUGACCGAUAGUGAACCAGUACCGUGAGGGAAAGGCGAAAAGAACCCCGGCGAGGGGAGUGAAAAAGAACCUGAAACCGUGUACGUACAAGCAGUGGGAGCACAGGUUUACCUGUGUGACUGCGUACCUUUUGUAUAAUGGGUCAGCGACUUAUAUUCUGUAGCAAGGUUAACCGUAUAGGGGAGCCGGAGGGAAACCGAGUCUUAACCGGGCGUUAAGUUGCAGGGUAUAGACCCGAAACCCGGUGAUCUAGCCAUGGGCAGGUUGAAGGUUGGGUAACACUAACUGGAGGACCGAACCGACUAAUGUUGAAAAAUUAGCGGAUGACCUGUGGCUGGGGGUGAAAGGCCAAUCAAACCGGGAGAUAGCUGGUUCUCCCCGAAAGCUAUUUAGGUAGCGCCUCGUGAAUUCAUCUCCGGGGGUAGAGCACUGUUUCGGCUAGGGGGCCAUCCCGGCUUACCAACCCGAUGCAAACUGCGAAUACCGGAGAAUGUUAUCACGGGAGACACACGGCGGGUGCUAACGUCCGUCGUGAAGAGGGAAACAACCCAGACCGCCAGCUAAGGUCCCAAAGUCAUGGUUAAGUGGGAAACGAUGUGGGAAGGCCCAGACAGCCAGGAUGUUGGCUUAGAAGCAGCCAUCAUUUAAAGAAAGCGUAAUAGCUCACUGGUCGAGUCGGCCUGCGCGGAAGAUGUAACGGGGCUAAACCAUGCACCGAAGCUGCGGCAGCGAACGUAUCACCCAAGACAACUUUACGGAGUUGACGAUUGACGGAGCGAAGCGACGUCAAAGCGUUCAUUAAAGUCGAGUUGGCUUAGGGAUACGUUCGUUGGGUAGGGGAGCGUUCUGUAAGCCUGUGAAGGUGUGUCGUGAGGCAUGCUGGAGGUAUCAGAAGUGCGAAUGCUGACAUAAGUAACGAUAAAGCGGGUGAAAAGCCCGCUCGCCGGAAGACCAAGGGUUCCUGUCCAACGUUAAUCGGGGCAGGGUGAGUCGACCCCUAAGGCGAGGCCGAAAGGCGUAGUCGAUGGGAAACGGGUUAAUAUUCCCGUACUUGGUGUUACUGCGAAGGGGGACGGAGAAGGCUAUGUUGGCCGGGCGACGGUUGUCCCGGUUUAAGCGUGUAGGUGUGUGUUCCAGGUAAAUCCGGUUCACUUUAACACUGAGGCGUGACGACGAGGCACUACGGUGCUGAAGCAACAAAUGCCCUGCUUCCAGGAAAAGCCUCUAAGCAUCAGGUAACACGAAAUCGUACCCCAAACCGACACAGGUGGUCAGGUAGAGAAUACCAAGGCGCUUGAGAGAACUCGGGUGAAGGAACUAGGCAAAAUGGUGCCGUAACUUCGGGAGAAGGCACGCUGACACGUAGGUGAAGUGAUUUACUCAUGGAGCUGAAGUCAGUCGAAGAUACCAGCUGGCUGCAACUGUUUAUUAAAAACACAGCACUGUGCAAACACGAAAGUGGACGUAUACGGUGUGACGCCUGCCCGGUGCCGGAAGGUUAAUUGAUGGGGUCAGCGUAAGCGAAGCUCCUGAUCGAAGCCCCGGUAAACGGCGGCCGUAACUAUAACGGUCCUAAGGUAGCGAAAUUCCUUGUCGGGUAAGUUCCGACCUGCACGAAUGGCGUAAUGAUGGCCAGGCUGUCUCCACCCGAGACUCAGUGAAAUUGAACUCGCUGUGAAGAUGCAGUGUACCCGCGGCAAGACGGAAAGACCCCGUGAACCUUUACUAUAGCUUGACACUGAACAUUGAGCCUUGAUGUGUAGGAUAGGUGGGAGGCUUUGAAGUGUGGACGCCAGUCUGCAUGGAGCCGACCUUGAAAUACCACCCUUUAAUGUUUGAUGUUCUAACGUGGACCCGUAAUCCGGGUUGCGGACAGUGUCUGGUGGGUAGUUUGACUGGGGCGGUCUCCUCCUAAAGAGUAACGGAGGAGCACGAAGGUUGGCUAAUCCUGGUCGGACAUCAGGAGGUUAGUGCAAUGGCAUAAGCCAGCUUGACUGCGAGCGUGACGGCGCGAGCAGGUGCGAAAGCAGGUCAUAGUGAUCCGGUGGUUCUGAAUGGAAGGGCCAUCGCUCAACGGAUAAAAGGUACUCCGGGGAUAACAGGCUGAUACCGCCCAAGAGUUCAUAUCGACGGCGGUGUUUGGCACCUCGAUGUCGGCUCAUCACAUCCUGGGGCUGAAGUAGGUCCCAAGGGUAUGGCUGUUCGCCAUUUAAAGUGGUACGCGAGCUGGGUUUAGAACGUCGUGAGACAGUUCGGUCCCUAUCUGCCGUGGGCGCUGGAGAACUGAGGGGGGCUGCUCCUAGUACGAGAGGACCGGAGUGGACGCAUCACUGGUGUUCGGGUUGUCAUGCCAAUGGCACUGCCCGGUAGCUAAAUGCGGAAGAGAUAAGUGCUGAAAGCAUCUAAGCACGAAACUUGCCCCGAGAUGAGUUCUCCCUGAGACUUAGAGUCUCCUGAAGGAACGUUGAAGACGACGACGUUGAUAGGCCGGGUGUGUAAGCGCAGCGAUGCGUUGAGCUAACCGGUACUAAUGAACCGUGAGGCUUAACCUU
rnacentral:rRNA from 1 species